GCAUUGGUGGCUCAGUGGUAGAAUUCUCGCCUUCCAUGCAGGAGACCCGGGUUCAAGUCCUAGCCCAUGCA
rnacentral:tRNA from 1 species